rnacentral:rRNA from 1 species
CCGCGAAUCGCCCUUCGGGGUGCCCAGGCGCGAAAACUUUACAAUGCGGGAAACCGUGAUAAGGGAACUCCGAGUGCCCGUAAAAUCGGGCUGUCCAUCUGUUUAAAUAACAGGUGAAGAAAGGGCCGGGCAAGACCGGUGCCAGCCGCCGCGGUAAUACCGGCGGCUCGAGUGGUGGCCACUAUUACUGGGCUUAAAGCGUUCGUAGCUGGUCUGUUAAGUCUCUGGGGAAAUCUACUGGCUUAACCAAUAGGCGUUUCAGGGAUACUGGCAGACUAGGGACCGGGAGAGGUGAGGGGUACUCCAGGGGUAGGAGUGAAAUCCUGUAAUCCUUGGGGGACCACCUGUGGCGAAGGCGCCUCACCAGAACGGCUCCGACAGUGAGGGACGAAAGCUGGGGGAGCAAACCGGAUUAGAUACCCGGGUAGUCCCAGCCGUAAACGAUGCGCGUUAGGUGUAUCGGUGACCACGAGUCACCGAGGUGCCGAAGAGAAAUCGUGAAACGUGCCGCCUGGGAAGUACGGUCGCAAGGCUGAAACUUAAAGGAAUUGGCGGGGGAGCAC